AAACCAGUUCACCUGAGAAUUGAUAACAACAGCUGGAACCAAACAAGAGUCAUUACCCCUCCCUCAGAGCCAUGCUCAUAUACUGAUGAAAGAGACUCUCAAAGGUACUGGAGAAACCAUCAAGAUUUAUUUGAAGUACUUGUGAUAUCCUAGAGAACUGCUGAUGCAGUAGAAAAAGAGGAAAGCUCAACAAACAGAUAAAGAAAGAAGAGAAUUUGUAUUAGUGCCAGUAGAAUAGUUACAGGCACUAGCAUCGCCAAAAUUGGUGAGUGCGAAAUCACUACAGAUACCAGCAUUGGCAAAACUGCCUCAUCUGGGCAGUACCUGGCUAAAGCCAUAAUGUAAUCAGACUCGGAGCCAACAUGUCCCAAACCAUGGAGCCACUUGUGUCUCUCCAUUUCUCCAUGUGAUUCUGACGAGAAUACACUUGCAAUCAGUUUUGGAUAUCUCGGUACCAGAGAGAUGUAAAGCAAUUUACGGGAGUUGAAUAAAAUACAGCAACAUGUAUUUUGGCUGCAGAGUUUGAGAGAUUCAUUCUUGAGGCCCACAGAGAGCCCAAGAAGCAGUGAGGCAGCACCUCAUUAUCCACACCCAAUCAAUCUACUGCAGUGUUGCUGUUGGCACACCACCGAAGCGAUCGGUGCCCUGGUGCAGGUUAACUGGAGAAGCUUAAACUGAUUUGGAGAGACAAGAUACUCCACAGGAGAGAGUACAGAACUAUGGAUGACAGCAGCAAAUCAUGGCAAUAAUAAUAGCUGUGGCGUCUGGAGAAAUAAUGGUGAAGAAACAAUGUAAUUGGAUUGUACAUGACUGGAUUCACUCAGUAAAGACAAUAUUUGAAGCUUCACUCAAGUCCUAGCGCACUGAAUGAUGGCCAGAGGUGUCACUACCACUGGACAACAGAAAUUCCUGUUCAUUAUUUUUCAAGAAAGAUCCUUUCAGAAUGACAAGACACUUCUUAAGUACAAGGAGGAAAGCAACACCAACAAAAAGAGAGAGGAUGUGUAUAUGUGUGUGAGAGAGAGAAACAGGAUUCUGUACUGAACCAACCUCUUCCAGAAUUAAUGCCAGCAUAGCUUGUUUUGGGAUAUAUGGAGUGGUUAAGGAAAGUACAAUAUGUGUUUGCACCCUGAAAAAUAACACUUACAAAUUGCACGGUGAGUUCUAUCUUUAUUGUUUCUUAAUUCUUU